rnacentral:rRNA from 1 species
GAGUAACACGUGGGUAACCUGCCCAUCAGAGGGGGAUAACAUUCGGAAACGGAUGCUAAAACCGCAUAGGUCCUUUAACCGCAUGGUUGAAGGAGGAAAAGAGGCGCAAGCUUCUGCUGAUGGAUGGACCCGCGGUGCAUUAGCUAGUUGGUGAGGUAACGGCUCACCAAGGCCACGAUGCAUAGCCGACCUGAGAGGGUGAUCGGCCACAUUGGGACUGAGACACGGCCCAAACUCCUACGGGAGGCAGCAGUAGGGAAUCUUCCGCAAUGGACGCAAGUCUGACGGAGCAACGCCGCGUGAGUGAAGAAGGUUUUCGGAUCGUAAAACUCUGUUGUUAGAGAAGAACAAGUGCUAGAGUAACUGUUAGCGCCUUGACGGUAUCUAACCAGAAAGCCACGGCUAACUACGUGCCAGCAGCCGCGGUAAUACGUAGGUGGCAAGCGUUGUCCGGAUUUAUUGGGCGUAAAGCGAGCGCAGGCGGUUCCUUAAGUCUGAUGUGAAAGCCCCCGGCUCAACCGGGGAGGGUCAUUGGAAACUGGGGAACUUGAGUGCAGAAGAGGAGAGUGGAAUUCCAUGUGUAGCGGUGAAAUGCGUAGAUAUAUGGAGGAACACCAGUGGCGAAGGCGACUCUCUGGUCUGUAACUGACGCUGAGGCUCGAAAGCGUGGGUAGCAAACAGGAUUAGAUACCCUGGUAGUCCACGCCGUAAACGAUGAGUGCUAAGUGUUGGAGGGUUUCCGCCCUUCAGUGCUGCAGUUAACGCAUUAAGCACUCCGCCUGGGGAGUACGACCGCAAGGUUGAAACUCAAAGGAAUUGACGGGGGCCCGCACAAGCGGUGGAGCAUGUGGUUUAAUUCGAAGCAACGCGAAGAACCUUA